rnacentral:rRNA from 1 species
UUAAGCGACUAAGCGUACACGGUGGAUGCCCUGGCAGUCAGAGGCGAUGAAGGACGUGCUAAUCUGCGAUAAGCGCCGGUAAGGUGAUAUGAACCGUUAUAACCGGCGAUUUCCGAAUGGGGAAACCCAGUGUGACUCGUCACACUAUCAUUAACUGAAUCCAUAGGUUAAUGAGGCGAACCGGGGGAACUGAAACAUCUAAGUACCCCGAGGAAAAGAAAUCAACCGAGAUUCCCCCAGUAGCGGCGAGCGAACGGGGAGGAGCCCAGAGCCUGAAUCAGCAUGUGUGUUAGUGGAAGCGUCUGGAAAGGCGCGCGAUACAGGGUGACAGCCCCGUACACAAAAGCGCAUGUGCUGUGAGCUCGAUGAGUAGGGCGGGACACGUGGUAUCCUGUCUGAAUAUGGGGGACCAUCCUCCAAGGCUAAAUACUCCUGACUGACCGAUAGUGAACCAGUACCGUGAGGGAAAGGCGAAAAGAACCCCGGCGAGGGGAGUGAAAAAGAACCUGAAACCGUGUACGUACAAGCAGUGGGAGCACCCUUUUGGGUGUGACUGCGUACCUUUUGUAUAAUGGGUCAGCGACUUAUAUUCUGUAGCAAGGUUAACCGCAUAGGGGAGCCGGAGGGAAACCGAGUCUUAAUUGGGCGUUAAGUUGCAGGGUAUAGACCCGAAACCCGGUGAUCUAGCCAUGGGCAGGUUGAAGGUUGGGUAACACUAACUGGAGGACCGAACCGACUAAUGUUGAAAAAUUAGCGGAUGACCUGUGGCUGGGGGUGAAAGGCCAAUCAAACCGGGAGAUAGCUGGUUCUCCCCGAAAGCUAUUUAGGUAGCGCCUCGUGAAUUCAUCUCCGGGGGUAGAGCACUGUUUCGGCUAGGGGGCCAUCCCGGCUUACCAACCCGAUGCAAACUGCGAAUACCGGAGAAUGUUAUCACGGGAGACACACGGCGGGUGCUAACGUCCGUCGUGAAGAGGGAAACAACCCAGACCGCCAGCUAAGGUCCCAAAGUCAUGGUUAAGUGGGAAACGAUGUGGGAAGGCCCAGACAGCCAGGAUGUUGGCUUAGAAGCAGCCAUCAUUUAAAGAAAGCGUAAUAGCUCACUGGUCGAGUCGGCCUGCGCGGAAGAUGUAACGGGGCUAAACCAUGCACCGAAGCUGCGGCAGCGACGCUUAUGCGUUGUUGGGUAGGGGAGCGUUCUGUAAGCCUGCGAAGGUGGCCUGUGAGGGUUGCUGGAGUAUCAGAAGUGCGAAUGCUGACAUAAGUAACGAUAAAGCGGGUGAAAAGCCCGCUCGCCGGAAGACCAAGGGUUCCUGUCCAACGUUAAUCGGGGCAGGGUGAGUCGACCCCUAAGGCGAGGCCGAAAGGCGUAGUCGAUGGGAAACGGGUUAAUAUUCCCGUACUUGGUGUUACUGCGAAGGGGGGACGGAGAAGGCUAUGUUGGCCGGGCGACGGUUGUCCCGGUUUAAGCGUGUAGGUGUGUGUUCCAGGUAAAUCCGGUUCACUUUAACACUGAGGCGUGACGACGAGGCACUACGGUGCUGAAGCAACAAAUGCCCUGCUUCCAGGAAAAGCCUCUAAGCAUCAGGUAACAUCAAAUCGUACCCCAAACCGACACAGGUGGUCAGGUAGAGAAUACCAAGGCGCUUGAGAGAACUCGGGUGAAGGAACUAGGCAAAAUGGUGCCGUAACUUCGGGAGAAGGCACGCUGACACGUAGGUGAAGUGAUUUACUCAUGGAGCUGAAGUCAGUCGAAGAUACCAGCUGGCUGCAACUGUUUAUUAAAAACACAGCACUGUGCAAACACGAAAGUGGACGUAUACGGUGUGACGCCUGCCCGGUGCCGGAAGGUUAAUUGAUGGGGUCAGCGCAAGCGAAGCUCCUGAUCGAAGCCCCGGUAAACGGCGGCCGUAACUAUAACGGUCCUAAGGUAGCGAAAUUCCUUGUCGGGUAAGUUCCGACCUGCACGAAUGGCGUAAUGAUGGCCAGGCUGUCUCCACCCGAGACUCAGUGAAAUUGAACUCGCUGUGAAGAUGCAGUGUACCCGCGGCAAGACGGAAAGACCCCGUGAACCUUUACUAUAGCUUGACACUGAACAUUGAGCCUUGAUGUGUAGGAUAGGUGGGAGGCUUUGAAGUGUGGACGCCAGUCUGCAUGGAGCCGACCUUGAAAUACCACCCUUUAAUGUUUGAUGUUCUAACGUGGACCCGUGAUCCGGGUUGCGGACAGUGUCUGGUGGGUAGUUUGACUGGGGCGGUCUCCUCCUAAAGAGUAACGGAGGAGCACGAAGGUUGGCUAAUCCUGGUCGGACAUCAGGAGGUUAGUGCAAUGGCAUAAGCCAGCUUGACUGCGAGCGUGACGGCGCGAGCAGGUGCGAAAGCAGGUCAUAGUGAUCCGGUGGUUCUGAAUGGAAGGGCCAUCGCUCAACGGAUAAAAGGUACUCCGGGGAUAACAGGCUGAUACCGCCCAAGAGUUCAUAUCGACGGCGGUGUUUGGCACCUCGAUGUCGGCUCAUCACAUCCUGGGGCUGAAGUAGGUCCCAAGGGUAUGGCUGUUCGCCAUUUAAAGUGGUACGCGAGCUGGGUUUAGAACGUCGUGAGACAGUUCGGUCCCUAUCUGCCGUGGGCGCUGGAGAACUGAGGGGGGCUGCUCCUAGUACGAGAGGACCGGAGUGGACGCAUCACUGGUGUUCGGGUUGUCAUGCCAAUGGCACUGCCCGGUAGCUAAAUGCGGAAGAGAUAAGUGCUGAAAGCAUCUAAGCACGAAACUUGCCCCGAGAUGAGUUCUCCCUGAGACUUUAGGUCUCCUGAAGGAACGUUGAAGACGACGACGUUGAUAGGCCGGGUGUGUAAGCGCAGCGAUGCGUUGAGCUAACCGGUACUAAUGAACCGUGAGGCUUAACCUU